UCAAAAGAUAAGCUAAGUAAGCUAAUGGGCUCAUACCUCAUUUAUGAGAGCCAACCUCUCUCUUUUU
rnacentral:tRNA from 1 species